rnacentral:lncRNA from 1 species
UGGUGGCGGCUUCAUUUAUGUAUGUAUGAUUUUAUAUAUAUUAAGUAGACAUCGAUCAUAUUUAUGGUUGUCCUCCACUUCCGUAACCAGAUCCAUAACCUGAACCAUAUCCAUGUCCAGAACCACCACCUCCUCCAUGGCCACCGCCACCACCUCCUCCAUGACCACCGCCUCCAUUUCCGCUUCCUGAACCAUAACCAGAUCCACUGCCAGAGCCAUAUCCCGAUCCGUUCCCACCACCAUGUCCACCACCACCUCCACCGCCAUGUCCACCACCUCCUCCUUGCCCACCACCGUAACCAGAACCGCUUCCAGAUCCAUAACCACUCCCUGAUCCAUGACCACUUCCCGAUCCUCCACCACCACCAUGUCCGCCUCCACCACCACCACCGUGUCCACCUCCACUCCCUUUACCACUUCCAUAACCUGAACCGGAUCCAUAGCCACUACCAGAUCCUUGACCUCCACCGCCACCGUGUCCCCCUCCACCACCGCCUCCACUACCAUACCCACCUCCUUUCCCAUGUCCCGAACCAUAUCCUGAGCCAUAACCAGAACCACUUCCCUUCCCACUACCUCCUCCUCCUCCACCGCCGCCGCCACCUCCACCACCACCUCCAUUAUUCGACCAAACCCUGGUUGCAGAGGUCAUGCCUAGGAAGAGCAUGACAACCAAAGUAGCACCCAACACUUUAGACAUAGCCAUUGAUGGUUAUAUAUUUUAGAAAGUUAAAAGAGAGAUGUGUGUUGUUGUGAAGUGUGCAUGGGAUGGUGUUGGUAUUUAUACCAAUUUUCGGCUCAUGAAAUAAUUAACAUCUGCCAACUGUUUCGGACUUUAAGAGUUUGAAGUCAGAAAUUUGGCGCCAACUCAUCGCCUAAUAAGCCAAAACACUUUGUUGAAUUCAUCAUAUUAAACGACAAUGAUAUCGAAAAGAAGUUCAAUUUUAAUCCACAAAUUUUCACCGACAUCAAACUAUUUGACUGAAUUAAUGUAAUUAUUCGAUUAAAAAAAUGGUAGUUAGUAAGUCACGGUCAUACCAGAUAAGUAGAUAACCCUACUUUAAUUAAACCAUAAAAAGACUUCGGCUUCAAUCCACUUAUUUUCACCGACACCGCAAGUUUUUGACCUCCAAAUUGUAAUAUUCGAUUCAAAAGUUAGUGAGUCACAAUCAAGUUAGAUAAUCUUAUUUUACACUGUUUUUUAUUGACUUAUUUUCAAUUCACAUUCUUAAAUUUCCGUGUUCAUGUUUUUGUCUUUUUUGGGCAGACGUGUCUUGUAUGUUGUAUAAGACACUAACACAUGUAAGACGUAAAAUAAUGUACUGCGAAAGACGUUUAUUUUCAAUUCACAUUUUUAAAUGUCUGUUUUCAUGUUUUUGGCUUUUUUGUUAAAUUGAAAAUAAGACAUGAUUUUUCAAUUCUCAAAAACAAACAUAUAUAUUAAGUUUGAACGAAUCAAACUUGGUCUAUAAGUUUGAACAUAUAACCCAAUUUUUUUUUAUAAGAACCAAAUUAAAGCUCGAAUCGACCUCAAACUUAUUUUGUUAAUAAACAAGCCCGUAUAAGUUCGAAUCUUAACAAGCUCGGCUCUUAUUAAGCUCGUUCGGUAUCCAAGCACGAGGUUGGCUAACUGUAAUCAAGCACAAUUCUAAGCAAAACAAGCUAAUUGUAUUCAACACCAAAACAGAUGUUACAGACUUUGUAUUUAUAGUAAAUGUAUUAUAGUAAAUUAAAUGAUGGUGUAUAAUCGGAGAUGGGCUUACACGAUCAGAUUAAGGUUUAAUCCAUCUCUUUUUAGUAUAGUACAAGUGUCAAGGAUAACAAUACAAAUAAAUUAUACAUAGAGGAUCAACACGUAAAAUCAACCAAUUUGCACAGUUAUUCUCAAUACAACAGCUCUGAUCUCCUCCUUCUUCCCCCUUCUUCGUAUUCUCAACACUCUUCAACUCUCAACAAAGUGUAACGUGUUCUCCCUCAUUCUAAAAGGUUGCUAUUUAUUAACCUUCUUCUAACCUCGGGCCAGGCCGGGAUUGGGCCGAACAGAUAUGGGGAUGUUCCCUGGCCGCUCUAGCGGACCAGGGGUAUCAUCAGUAUAUACUCCCUCGACGGUCCUUGUUCGUUGAUGCUCUUGUUGGGUCAGUCCAAAGAGCCAAGGGUAUCAUCAGUACCCUCUUCCCACUUCUUGGAGCCUAUAAAUACAUUGAUGUCUCCUCUUUUUUCUUCAUAACCGAACUAAUCAUGCAUUCUUCUGCAGGUCCUCGAUGAGUUGAGGCGUGAGUUGGUGCACCGGUAGGCUGUCUGGUCGUAAUGUUUGAUCCUCUCUGAAUUCGAUCUUAGGGCUCUUAUCGCUAUUGAGAGUGACCGGUUGAAUGCUUUACAACUUAUAGUGUACCAUCGUUUGGCUUCCUUUCAUCAGGUUGACACAGAUUCGAUCGCGUUGGGGAUUGUCACUCAAGUUGUUGUGCCUUCCUCUCGGGUUGUGGCCCCUUCUCCUUGUGGCCGAGCUUCUGUCCCACAAGGUGAAUCUUCCGACUCUACUGCUCCUUCUGUUGUUUCCCUUUCGCUGCCCUCAUAACACCGUCGGGGUCGUCGACACCGACCACAUCGUGCGUUGUCUGAACGGUCAGUCAUUGACCUCCGCCACUACAUAUCGUGUGGGGCCACUUGAUAGCCUUCCCAGUCUUCUCAUAGGGAACCCCUCCGCGAGCUUCUCCGUUUGUAAUCUUACUUUUAUUUUCUUAGAGUCUUUGUUUUCGACUCACCCCCGCUGUAAUAGCUUAUUUUCUAAUGCAACUCCGUUAUUUGUUUUCGACUCCUAGAACCUAUCCCCUCGUGCUCUUUGCUUUUGCUCUUCCGGGGAUCAGAUCGAUCGGUUCUUCUAGAUCCUAUCUCUCGGGCCUACUUGAUUUUGCUGUGGGAUUUGGACGGCUCCUGGACCUAUCCCCUCGUGUUCUAUCUUUUCUCCCUAUGAUUUGGAGAGUCUGAGCAGUUGUCAUAACCUAUUUCCAUCGAGAAGGACUUAUUUCUUCCCUACAACAUGAAGAAUCCGAGUUGUUCCUGGAAUCUAUCUCUGGGUGAUCGAGCGGGACUUAUUUCUUAUUCGGGGAUCCAAGCGGUCUGUGGGCCUAUCCCCUGGUCGUAAAUUGGAUCGACCUGUUUUCCUUGUUUUUUUGGACGUUUCACGCUAUGUUUUAGUUAUCCAAAGUGGCUCCUUGUUUUAUUUCGAUAUUGAAAAAACAAGUAUGUACGAAGCCCCCUUUUAUAUAGCUUACUAGUUACUGUCGAUCGGUACUUGGAAAAGGUGUCUGUAUGCCAAGUCCUUUCCAUUAGUUGUCCGUACUCGAACAUCAGUUGAAAUACACAUGGGUCGGACCUCCUCUUUUAUGAUGUACGGGGAGGUCCCCUACGGUCAAAUCCUUUUUCGAUACCUUCGUGUUGUGGUACCGGCCGGGCGGUCCUCCGCUUGUACGGUUAGCAUGGUCGUAUCGUUCUCUUCCGGGAUGUAUCCUAAGAUCUGAUUCAGUAGUCGACCAUACGAGUUCGGAAGAGGACACUGCACUGAUUUUGAAUGCUAAUGUGAACUGCGCGUAUCUGGUUGGGAUCUAUAAUGUGGUGCGGUAGGUCCACAUUAUUUCCGGGAUUAAGUUGGCCCAUGUACCCGGGUUUUCUCUGACUUUUCGCUUUAGAAUUGUCGUUAUUUUACGAUUUGUUACCUCCACCUGGUCAUUGGACUGGGGAUGAUAUACGGAGGUUAAAGUUAGCUUUAUUCCACUCUCUUUGAAAAACAUUUUGAAUUUUUUGCCUGCGAACUGCGUCCUAUUAUCGGCUAUUAUUUGCAUCGGGACUUCGAAACAGCAAACGAUGUUUAACACAAUAUUCUAUCAAAUUUUCACUAUCAUAUACUUUAUCAAAAAAAAUAAACCGAGGAUGGGACGCAGUUCAUUGUACAACUGUACUGUUUUCAUUGACUGAGAUAUUUAUUGAUAAUUUUAAAAUUAAGAUGCCAUUUUUUGUUGUUGUUAAAAAUCAUUUAUAUCAUAUGAAAUAUCUCAUGAAAACGUUUUUUAUUUAUUCAUAUCAUGACUGUGGUGGCUUCAUAUAUGUAUGUAUGAUUUUAUAUAUAUCAAGUAGACGUUGAUCGUAUUUAUGGUCGUCCUCCACUUCCGUAACCCGAGCCUGAUCCAUAACCAGAACCAUAUCCAUGUCCAGAACCACCACCUCCUCCAUGGCCACCGCCACCACCUCCUCCAUUGCCAUAACCACCAUUUCCGCUACCUGAACCAUAACCAGAUCCACUGCCAGAGCCAUAUCCCGAUCCGUUCCCACCACCACCUCCACCGCCAUGUCCACCACCUCCUCCUUUUCCACCACCGUAACCAGAACCACUUCCAGAUCCAUAACCACUACCUGAUCCAUGACCACUUCCCGAUCCUCCACCACCACCAUGUCCACCUCCGCCACCACCACCGUGUCCACCUCCACUCCCUUUACCACUUCCAUAACCUGAACCGGAUCCAUAGCCACUACCAGAUCCUUGACCUCCACCGCCACCAUGUCCCCCUCCACCACCGCCUCCACUACCAUACCCACCUCCUUUCCCAUGUCCCGAACCAUAUCCUGAGCCAUAACCAGAACCACUUCCCUUCCCACUACCUCCUCCUCCUCCACCGCCGCCACCUCCACCACCACCUCCAUUAUUCGACCAAACCCUGGUUGCAGAGGUCAUGCCUAGGAAGAGCAUGACAACCAAAGUAGCACCCAACACCUUAGACAUAGCCAUUGAUGGUUAUAUAUUUUAGAAAGCUAAAAGAGAGAUGUGUGUUGUUGUGAAGUGUGCAUGGGAUGGUGUUGGUAUUUAUACCAAUUUUCGGCUCAUGAAAUAAUUAACAUCUGCCAACUGUUUCGGACUUUAAGAGUUUGAAGUCAGAAAUUUGGCGCCAACUCAUCGCCUAAUAAGCCAAAACACUUUGUUGAAUUCAUCGUAUUAAACGACAAAGAUGUCGAAAAAAAGUUCAAUUUCAAUCCAACCGAUACCAAACUAUUUGACUGAAUUGUAAUAUUCGAUUAAAAAAUGGUAGUUAGUAAGUCACAGUCAUACCAGCUAAAUAACUUUUUUUUUAUUGACUAAGUUUCAGUUUACACAUUCUUAAAUUUCUGUGUUGAUUUUUCACUUUUUUUAAUCAUCUCUUAAAUAAAAAAAUAUUAUAUAAUAUUAACAGAUGAUAUAAAAUUCAAGGGUUAUUUGUAAGUAAACCCAUAUAUUAUCUGAUUCCUGCCUAACAAGCUUAAACACUUUAUUUAUUUAUUUGAUUCCAAUCCACAAAUUUUCAGCCGACAUGCAGCACAAGUAUUUCAUUAAAUUAUAAUAUUUGAUUUAAAAUUUAGUGAGUGACAAUCAUGACAGAUAAUCUUUUCUUCUUGAGUUUAAAGUUAUUAAGUCUGUAAAUGGUAUAUCGAAAUCCAUAUUCGAAUCCGCAUUCGAAUUCGAAUAUGACUAUCCGGAUUCGGAUACCUGAAUUGAAAUCCAGAUUUUAUUCGGUCGGAUUCGGAUAUCCGGAAAAUCCGUCGAUAAAAUCCGAAUUCGUUUAAAAAUUUCGGAUUCGUUCUGAUAUCCGGAUAAAUAUAUAAUAAAUUAAUAUUAUUAUAUUAUAUAUUUUUAUUAUAAAUCAUUAAACACUUAAAGUUUUAAACCUAAUUACCUAAGUUAUAAUUAAUUAAUUAUAAAUCUUUAUAACUUAUUAACUUAUAAUUAUUAAAUCCCAACCCUAAUCCUAACAGUAACCCUAAAGUUAUUCAGAUUCGGAUUAUUUGAAUUCGAAUUAUCCGAAAAUCCGGAUAAUUUAUUCGGAUUAUUCGGAUAUCUGGAUAAUUUAUCCUUCGAAUUUUCAAAUCCGGAUUUUAUUCGAUCGGAUUCCUACAUAUCUGAUCCGAAUCCGAGCGAUAUACAGGCUUAAAAGUUAUAAUGUAAUAUCACAAGUGAUGACAAUAUUCUAAUUAUAGCAAUCAUAAUAGUUAAUUACAACUCGAUUAGUCUAGUUGGUCGCACACACUAUUAAAGUUAACCGAAGGUCUAAAGUUGACAGAGUACUUGUCGAGGAGAUGGAGCCCGCAACUGACGACAAGAUGACAGAGAAUGAUUCUAACGACCAACGGUUUGCCUGGAAAGAGGGUGCGUCAGCUGAAGGGUCCGCCUACUGAAUACCUGGUACCAGGACUUUGUAACCUAAUCACGAUGGUCAAAGGGGCACGACGAGUUCUUUAAAUUUAUCUGGAGAAUUUAGUAAUUAGUUGGUCGUCGGGAUGGAAGAAAAUGAGUUGUAUUUUUAUUUUCUUUAAUCAACUGAUACCAUCUCAGAAACGCAAUUCAUUUAUUAACAACUAAAAUCAAUUCCAUAAAAUGAUUAACCCAAAAGCUUGGGUAAUACAAACUAUUUAUAGUAUGGUUAAGUCUAAAGUAAAUUGUUAAUCACACUUUAAACUAAUUACAAUGUUAUGAUCAUUACAGCAAUAUUGUUUAUUUAAUUCUCACACCCGUCACUGAUCUCCGCCAAUACAUAUCGCGUGGGGCUACUGAUGUCUACCCUACCGUCUCAUGAGGAACCCCGCAAGCUGCUACGAUUUUGUUUUAGUUAUAUUUUAAUUUCCUUUUGUAAUCUCACUUUUACUUUCCCUGCAGUCUUUGUUUUCGUCUCGUCCUCGAUGUAAUAGCUCAUUUUCUAAUGCAACUCCGUUAUUCGUUUUCACCUGAUUACUCAGAUAUUCGUUUCCUGUUCUUCCAUGAGUUUGACGGGUUGUUUAUCGACUAUUUGGUCGCGGGUGCUCCUACUGCUUCGGGACGGGUUGUGAUCUAUGGGGGCUCUUGGGUUGUUAUCCCUCCGACCUGGGAGUUUGUUGAUCGAGAAGCUUCGAGGUCGACCGGUUGAUCGAGAAGCUUCAGAAGAUGGGGGUCGACCUCAAGGCAACAGAGCUUCGGUGCAUUACCGCAUUAGCCGACAACGAAACUCUCAAGCAUGAGACCGGGAAAGCGGUCAAUUUCUUCAAUGAGAGAGCCUAGAAGAUGAGGGCCAAGCGGAAGAACGAUCUACUUGGUCAUUUCGUUGCUAGGAUGAAGUGUGAGAGUAACCUUGUCCAGCUAUCCGUUGAAGAUUUCAUCGUUCCGAUCAACCUCGCGCAGUGGGAAGAGUGGAAGAGCAUUGGGCCUCCUGAACUUCCUCCGGAUUGAUCACGGUUCCGAAGCUUCCAGAAGAUCACGAAGCAGAGCCUUCCUAAGUUCGUUUUUUUCUUUCCUACUUUAUGUUUGUAUCCCAGUACACUAGUUUUGCCUUUUCUUAUUUCACCAAUACUUUUUUUUUGCUAUUUGUUUUGUAUCUGUGUUUGCUUUUGCUCUCCCGACCCUACUUGACUUUUGUUGGGAAAUCCAGACGCUCCUAGAACCUAUCUUCUCGUGCUCUUUAAUUUGCUUCCACUCUUUGGUUUUGCUCUUCCAGGGGAUCCGGUCGGUUCUUCUAGAACCUAUCUCCCGACCCUAAUUAAUUUUACUAGGGGAUCCAGACGGCUCCUAUAAAACCUAUCUCCUCGUGUUCUUUCUUUUCUUCCUAUGGUCCGGAGAGUCCGAGAAGUUGUGAUAACCUAUCUCCCGACCAUCGAGCAAGACUUAUUUCUUCCCUACGACCUGAAGAAUCUGAAUUGUUCCUGGAAUCUAUCUCUGGGUCAUCGAGCGGGACUUAUUUCUUUUCCGGGGAUCCGAGCGGUCCAUGGGCCUAUCCUCUGGUCGUAAAUUGGGUCGACUUGUUUUCCUUCCUUAGCUUUAUUCUGCUUUCUUUGCAGAACAUUUUCAGUAUUUUGUCUGCGAAUUGCAUCCCAUUGUCAGUUACUAUUUGCAUCGGGACUCCGAAACGACAAACGAUGUUUAACAUAAUAUUCUAUUUAAUGUCAUGUUCGCAAAUUUUCACCAACUAAAAUUGGAUAUUAGUAAGUCACUAUCAUUUAUUCAUAUCACAACUGUACUUUAUCAAAAAAAAUUAAAUCAAAUUGACAUUUUUCAUUGACUGAGAUAUUUAUUGAUAAUUUUAAAAUUAAGAUGUCAUUUUUUGUUGUUAUUAAAAAUCAUUUAUCUCAUUCGAAAUAUCUCAUGAAAACGUUUUUUAUUUAUUAAUAUCACGAUUGUAGUGGCUUCAUAUAUGUAUGUAUGUAUGUAUGAUUUUAUAUAUAUCAAGUAGACGUUGAUCAUAUUUAUGGUCGUCCUCCACUUCCGUAACCAGAGCCUGAUCCAUAACCUGAACCAGAUCCAGAUCCAGACCCACCACCUCCUCCAUGGCCACCGCCACCACCUCCUCCAUUGCCGUAACCACCAUUUCCGCUACCUGAACCAUAACCAGAUCCACUGCCAGAGCCAUAUCCCGAUCCGUUCCCACCCCCUUGUCCACCACCACCUCCACCGCCAUGUCCACCACCUCCUCCUUGGCCACCACCGUAACCAGAACCGCUUCCAGAUCCAUAACCACUCCCUGAUCCAUGAUCACUUCCAGAUCCUCCACCACCACCGUGUCCACCUCCACCACCACCACCGUGUCCACCUCCACUCCCUUUACCACUUCCAUAACCUGAACCGGAUCCAUAGCCACUACCAGCUUGACCUCCACCGCCACCGUGUCCCCCUCCACCGCCGCCUCCACUACCAUACCCACCUCCUUUCCCAUGUCCCGAACCAUAUCCUGAGCCAUAACCAGAACCACUUCCCUUUCCACUACCUCCUUCUCCACCACCGCCGCCACCUCCACCACCACCUCCAUUAUUCGACCAAACCCUGGUUGCAGAGGUCAUGCCUAGGAAGAGCAUGAUAACCAAAGUAGCACCCAACACCUUAGACAUAGCCAUUGAUGGUUAUAUAUUUUAGAAAGCUAAAAGAGAGAUGUGUGUUGUUGUGAAGUGUGCAUGGGAUGAUGUUGGUAUUUAUACCAAUUUUGGACUCAU